rnacentral:rRNA from 1 species
AGUGAACGCUGGCGGUAGGCCUAACACAUGCAAGUCGAACGGCAGCACAGUAAGAGCCUGCUCUUACGGGUGGCGAGUGGCGGACGGGUGAGGAAUACAUCGGAAUCUACUUUUUCGUGGGGGAUAACGUAGGGAAACUUACGCUAAUACCGCAUACGACCUACGGGUGAAAGCAGGGGAUCUUCGGACCUUGCGCGAUUGAAUGAGCCGAUGUCGGAUUAGCUAGUUGGCGGGGUAAAGGCCCACCAAGGCGACGAUCCGUAGCUGGUCUGAGAGGAUGAUCAGCCACACUGGAACUGAGACACGGUCCAGACUCCUACGGGAGGCAGCAGUGGGGAAUAUUGGACAAUGGGCGCAAGCCUGAUCCAGCCAUACCGCGUGGGUGAAGAAGGCCUUCGGGUUGUAAAGCCCUUUUGUUGGGAAAGAAAAGCAGCAGGUUAAUACCCCACUGUUCUGACGGUACCCAAAGAAUAAGCACCGGCUAACUUCGUG